AACGCUAGCUACAGGCUUAACACAUGCAAGUCGAGGGGCAGCAUGGUCUUAGCUUGCUAAGGCCGAUGGCGACCGGCGCACGGGUGAGUAACGCGUAUCCAACCUGCCUUACACUCUUGGACAGCCUUCUGAAAGGGAGAUUAAUACAAGAUGUUAUCAUGAGUAAGCAUAUUCGCAUGAUUAAAGGUUUACCGGUGUAAGAUGGGGAUGCGUUCCAUUAGAUAGUAGGCGGGGUAACGGCCCACCUAGUCUUCGAUGGAUAGGGGUUCUGAGAGGAAGGUCCCCCACAUUGGAACUGAGACACGGUCCAAACUCCUACGGGAGGCAGCAGUGAGGAAUAUUGGUCAAUGGACGAGAGUCUGAACCAGCCAAGUAGCGUGAAGGAUGAAGGUUCUAUGGAUUGUAAACUUCUUUUAUACGGGAAUAAACGAAUCCACGUGUGGAUUUUUGCAUGUACCGUAUGAAUAAGGAUCGGCUAACUCCGUGCCAGCAGCCGCGGUAAUACGGAGGAUCCGAGCGUUAUCCGGAUUUAUUGGGUUUAAAGGGAGCGUAGAUGGGUUGUUAAGUCAGUUGUGAAAGUUUGCGGCUCAACCGUAAAAUUGCAAUUGAUACUGGCAGUCUUGAGUACAGUUGAGGUAGGCGGAAUUCGUGGUGUAGCGGUGAAAUGCUUAGAUAUCACGAAGAACUCCGAUUG
rnacentral:rRNA from 1 species